UACGUAGGGGGCUAGCGUUGUCCGGAAUCAUUGGGCGUAAAGAGCGUGUAGGCGGUUUGGUAGGUCCGCUGUGAAAACUCGAGGCUCAACCUCGAGACGCCGGUGGAAACCAUCAGACUAGAGUCCGGAAGAGGAGAGUGGAAUUCCUGGUGUAGCGGUGAAAUGCGCAGAUAUCAGGAAGAACACCCGUGGCUAAGGCGGCUCUCUAGUACGGUACUGACGCUGAGACGCGAAAGCGUGGGGAGCGAACAGG
rnacentral:rRNA from 1 species